UACGUAGGGUGCAAGCGUUAAUCGGAAUUACUGGGCGUAAAGCGUGCGCAGGCGGUUAUGUAAGACAGUUGUGAAAUCCCCGGGCUCAACCUGGGAACUGCAUCUGUGACUGCAUAGCUAGAGUACGGUAGAGGGGGAUGGAAUUCCGCGUGUAGCAGUGAAAUGCGUAGAUAUGCGGAGGAACACCGAUGGCGAAGGCAAUCCCCUGGACCUGUACUGACGCUCAUGCACCGAAAGGCGUGGGGAGCAAACGAGG
rnacentral:rRNA from 1 species